rnacentral:rRNA from 1 species
UACGGAGGGUGCAAGCGUUAUCCGGAUUCACUGGGUUUAAAGGGUGCGUAGGUGGGCUGGUAAGUCAGUGGUGAAAUCUCCAGGCUUAACUUGGAAACUGCCAUUGAUACUAUCAGUCUUGAAUACCGUGGAGGUCAGCGGAAUAUGACAUGUAGCGGUGAAAUGCUUAGAUAUGACAUAGAACACCAAUUGCGAAGGCAGCUGGCUACACGAAUAUUGACACUGAUGCACGAAAGCGUGGGGAUCAAACAGG